UAUAACGACUCUCGGCAACGGAUAUCUCGGCUCCCGCAUCGAUGAAGAACGUAGCGAAAUGCGAUACUUGGUGUGAAUUGCAGAAUCCCGUGAACCAUCGAGUCUUUGAACGCAAGUUGCGCCCGAAGCCAUCCGGCCGAGGGCACGCCUGCCUGGGCGUCACACACC
rnacentral:rRNA from 1 species